rnacentral:rRNA from 2 species
UAAUCUACCCUUUAGAUUGGAAUACCCAAUGGAAACAUUGGCUAAUGCCGGAUACGCAUGGAAUCGCAUGAUUCCGUUGUGAAAGGAGCCCUUAAAGCUCCGCUAGAGGAUGAGGGUGCGGAACAUUAGUUAGUUGGUAGGGUAAUGGCCUACCAAGACUAUGAUGUUUAGCCGGGUCGAGAGACUGAACGGCCACAUUGGGACUGAGAUACGGCCCAAACUCCUACGGGAGGCAGCAGUAGGGAAUAUUCCACAAUGAGCGAAAGCUUGAUGGAGCGACACAGCGUGCACGAUGAAGGUCUUCGGAUUGUAAAGUGCUGUUAUAGGGAAAGAACACCUGGUUGAGGAAAUGCUUCCAGGCUGACGGUACCCUGUCAGAAAGCGAUGGCUAACUAUGUGCCAGCAGCCGCGGUAAUACAUAGGUCGCAAGCGUUAUCCGGAAUUAUUGGGCGUAAAGCGUUCGUAGGCUGUUUAUUAAGUCUGGAGUCAAAUCCCAGGGCUCAACCCUGGCUCGCUUUGGAUACUGGUAAACUAGAGUUAGAUAGAGGUAAGCGGAAUUCCAUGUGAAGCGGUGAAAUGCGUAGAUAUAUGGAAGAACACCAAAGGCGAAGGCAGCUUACUGGGUCUAUACUGACGCUGAGGGACGAAAGCGUGGGGAGCAAACAGGAUUAGAUACCCUGGUAGUCCACGCCGUAAACGAUGAUCAUUAGUCGGUGGAGAGUUCACUGACGCAGCUAACGCAUUAAAUGAUCCGCCUGAGUAGUAUGCUCGCAAGAGUGAA